AUUGAACGCUGGCGGCAGGCCUAACACAUGCAAGUCGAGCGGAUGACGGGAGCUUGCUCCUUGAUUCAGCGGCGGACGGGUGAGUAAUGCCUAGGAAUCUGCCUGGUAGUGGGGGACAACGUUUCGAAAGGAGCGCUAAUACCGCAUACGUCCUACGGGAGAAAGCAGGGGACCUUCGGGCCUUGCGCUAUCAGAUGAGCCCAGGUCGGAGUAGCUAGUGGGUGAGGUAAUGGCUCACCUAGGCGACGAUCCGUAACUGGUCUGACAGGAUGAUCAGUCACACUGGAACUGAGACACGGUCCAGACUCCUACGGGAGGCAGCAGUGGGGAAUAUUGGACAAUGGGCGAAAGCCUGAUCCAGCCAUGCCGCGUGUGUGAAGAAGGUCUUCGGAUUGUAAAGCACUUUAAGUUGGGAGGAAGGGCAGUAAGUUAAUACCUUGCUGUUUUGACGUUACCGACAGAAUAAGCACCGGCUAACUCUGUGCCAGCAGCCGCAGUAACAC
rnacentral:rRNA from 1 species